rnacentral:rRNA from 1 species
AAGUCUGAACCAGCCCAUGCCGCGURAMGGGAARAAAGCCCUUAUAGGGUUGUAAACCCCCUCUUUAUGGGGGACGAAACAACGGCUACGUCGUAGGAUCACYUGGAACGGACCGUAAGAAUAAGCAUCGGCUAACUCCGUGCCAGCAGCCGCGGUAAUACGGAGGAUGCAGAGCGUUAUCCGGAUUCAUUGGGUUUAAAGGGUGCGUAGGCGGAGUUAUAAGUCAGUGGUGAAAGCCURCAGCUUAACUGUAGAACUGCCAUUGAUACUGUCAUUCUUGAGUACUGUGGAGGUAGGCGGAAUGGGUCAUGUAGCGGUGAAAUGCUUAGAUAUGACACAGAACAGCGAUCGCGAAGGCAGSNUASSRASCAAUAACUGACGCUCAUGCACAAAGCGUGGGGAUCAAACAGGAUUAGAUAUAAGAUAUGACGCUAGAAAACACCUGAAUGGCGAAGGCAGGCCU